rnacentral:snRNA from 1 species
AAACGGCUCAGCCGGAGGUA